AUGGUGGCAACCUUCACGUGGUCCUCCCUGUUAAGUACACUUUAAUCUAUGUGUACAAACUAAUGCCACCACUUUGCAGAUUUAACGAUCAUAUGUCAACUUCCCAGUCAAAAUAGCAACUUUUCCAAGAAAGACUCUUUCAAAGCCACACUCAUCAGCUAACAGACCUGUUGAUUCGUCUAGGCCAAUUUAAUGCCGAGGGCCUAUCUCGUUCAAAAGUUGAUGGACAAUAACAUAAAUGUCCUGGCAAUGCAAAAAACACAUGUUGCGGAAGAAGACUCAGCAUGCCUCAAGAUAGCAAGAUAUGUCCUUCUCUCCACCCAAAACCAUCCAAGACUUGGAAUGGCUGCCUACAUCAGGCCACAACUAAAACACAUAGCCAAAGCACUGCCAGAAACUGUCAGAUACAUCACUGGUAUCUGAGUCAGGGAGCUGACAAUGUAUAAUGUGUACAAGCUGCCCAGCUAUCAUAGAAUCAUAGAAUAUCCGGGUUGGAAGGGACCUCAGGAGGUCAUCUAGUCCAACCCCCUGCUCAAAGCAGGACCAAUCCCCAACUAAAUCAACUAAAACUAUCCGGGGCCCUUACUCCUACCAAAAUAACACCUCCUAUAAUAACAUCUUGGUGAUUUUAGCAGCCAUCAUACAGAAUGGACUAUUCGAUGAACAACACUGCAGGUGAACAGCUUACUGAGGGGGCAUCAGUACCUGCUGUUUGAUACAAAAUGAAAGGAUACCUUCUGCUCAGCCUGACAGAAGAAAGAAUACACACCUGUCUUAUGUUUUGUGCCCACAGACUGCAGUGGAUCACCACUCAUUGCACCACAGAUUGUCCAGGACCUCUUUGUGCACAGGGCAGUGGUGGUACCCAGUGGCCUCAAACUCCCCAUCAUUACCUGUGUUACCAGUUCCAUGCUGGAACCUGAGACAGGUGGAUUGGCUGGGUUUCUCCACUGAUAUCUAAAAGCCAUCAGCAGCAUACCACCAAAGCCCAAAAACUUCAACCCCUUCACACAUUUUUUAUUAAAGCUUCAAAGAAGAAUAUUCCCAGCUACAGGAGCUUCUUUGCUGGAGCCCACAGAGUGAAAUGCUCCUACGGGACUAUAAAGCUGCUCUGACCUGGACUGCUGUCCUGGAAUCGUUAGAUUAUACAAGAUGACAACAAUGGCUGGAGAUGGUGGAAGCCACAGACUUCAUGGACUCCAGCUAUAAGGCAUAGGCCCUUCUGCAGCACCAUCACACACAUAAAUGUUGGAAGUCACUGCAAACAGCAUUGCCAGCCUCCCAGUAAGAAAUUAAAAGAUGACCAUAAGCCAACAAAUGAAAAAAGGGGUGAAAACAGCUCUUAAGGAAUCCUGCCCCUUCAACAAGUCUCUGUCAAUCCUCCACAAGAGCUGAGAUUGAUGGUACCCUCUCUGAAACCAAAGCAGGAAAAUCAGCUGGCAUUGAUGGAAUUGUUUCAGCCUUCCUUAACCAUCUCUGACCAAGAGGGCACUUCUGGGUGGCAGCACAAUUCACAGAAGUCAUCACCACUAGCAAACUCCUAACAGCUUGAAGACGACCAAAGGUUAUCACCAUUUAAAAACCCAGUGUAGAGGGCAGGCCUGGGUCCCCCUGCCAGCUCCUGGGAAGUGGCACGGUGCGCUGGCAGUGCUAGCCAGACAGCUGGUUUGGAAGGACUUUGAGCUCUGCCAAAGGGGAGGAACCUAGUGACUUGGCUGGAGGGCCUAGCCACAAACAAGAAGUUGGAGCUCAGAGCGUGAGAGGGGCCACAGGGAGAAAGAGAUGACGGGUAGAGACACCGCCAGAGGAGGGCAGUGCCUGGCAAGAGCUAAUCCCUAGAGCCACUAGGAGAAGGUGCCACACGUGGGCCUGAUUCAAAAGCUCAUGUGGCCACUUCUGUUGGGGACAGCAGGGAGCACUGGACUGGGAGUAAGGAGAAAUGGGUUGUCUUCCUGCCUCUGCCACAGACUUCCCGGAUGACUUUAGCAUAUCACGACUAAGGAAAAGCUCGUGCAACGAGAUGAAAUACAGAGGGGUCCCCCCCCCCAUUGCCUUCAGCAGUAGAUUGACUGUUGGAACUCUCUGGAGCAUUGCUGGAAGGUCUGAGCAGAUU